CAACGGUGCCGAUCGUCGAUUUGGAAGCUCUAUCAUCGAAAACAAAUGGGUGGCAACGGAACCCGUUUGUUAUCGAUAGUAUUCUAGCUCAACUAUAUAUAUAUAUAUAUAUAUAUAUAUAUAUAGGGUCCAUCUACUAUCCUAUUAAUAGGAUUGAGGACAUUGUCCUAUCAAGUCGAUUUGAAUGAUCGGAACUUCAAAUUGAUAAUCGGUACUGUUGAAAUUGAUUUGCACAAUUAGAAAUGUUUAGAAAUGUUGAAAUUGAUCUACACAAUUAGGCUGAUGUGGUCCCUUUAGGAUUGAGUGGGUAGUUAGUUGAAUAGUAUAAUCGAAUGGAUGAAAAUGAUAAACGGGAUAAAUCUAACGGUAGAAAACUUGAUAGCACUAAAUAUUUCGUGCUAUCGAUAGUAUCCUGCCGGACUCUACACACACGGUUUACCACCAUUAUUAUUAAAAUUAUUUUG
rnacentral:lncRNA from 1 species